UUGUCUCGAAUGUGAGUAAAGGUUGGGCAUGUUUGCUAGUCUACCUUGCCACGAAGCACAAAGGUUGACACACAGGGACUUUCCAAUUAUCCAGCAAUGGUACUGUUCCUUUACCCUCUCUUCGAUUUUGAGAAAGUAGUCAUGUUGGGAGUCUGGCUCUCGAGAUUCGGAGGAUGGUGCCUCUUCGAUUUUGGAGCAAGCAAGCAAUCUUGUUGGGAGUGUUUUCUCGAAUGUGAGUAAAGGUUGGGCAUGUUUGCUAGUCUACCUUGCCACGAAGCAUAGAUAGAGGUUGACACACAGGGACUUUUCCAAUUAUCCAGCAGUAGUACUGUUCCUUUACCCUUGUGGGUAAUAAUAUGGUAGCUAGACCUUCAAAAUUUAUGUGUCCAAACUUUGUUAGUGCUGUUUCUUUGCUAUUCUUUUACCUUUCUUGGUCAGAGCGAUGUAGUGGGAGCUGCAAGCUUCACGUGCUCAACUUUUGGCAGAGAACUUUGGCAAAGUUAUCUGUGGUACCCAUGAGCUAUUGUUGCGUGUGGGAAGUGGGUGAUUGAACAGUAAGAUUCAUGUGCUUUCUACUUCACCAGAAGUCUUCGACAGAAUGCCCAUAAUUUCUGCAAAGCUGAGUGUGCGUGUGACAGGUGCUGACAAGGCUAGAAAAGUAGGUGCCUCUUCGAUUUUUGAGAUCGGCCCUCGUGGUCUCUGAGCAGCCCAGCUUUUGAGAAAGCGAGCGCCUCUUCGAUUGAUUCGGAGAACGAUGCCUCAUCGAUUUUUGAGAAAGCAAUCAUGCUGGGGGUCUGGCUCUCGAGAUUCGGGGAGUAGUGUCUCUUCGAUUUUUGAGAAAGUAAUCAUGUUGGGAUUUUGGCUCUCGAGAUUCGGAGGGCGGUGCCUCUUCGAUUUUGGAGCAAGCAAUCUUGUUGGGAGUGUUUUCUAGAAUGUGAGUAAAGGUUGGGCAUGUUUGCUAAUCUACCUUGCCACGAAGCACAGAGGUUGACACACAGGGACUUUCCAAUUAUC
rnacentral:lncRNA from 1 species